UGAAACAUUGUAGAGGGAGGUUCUAGAGCUGGCUCUUCACGGGGCAAGUGCUCGCCUUUCUCUCAAUCUUCAUCCACCUGUGCACCUUUUGUAGAGAGACUUGUUUCGAGAAAGGGAGCCCGUAAAACGGUUCCUCGGUAUCGGGGAAGGCCUUUCUAUGUUUUCACACACUCUGAACGUAUGUCUUGAAUGUCUUUUUAAUAGGGGAAACCCUUUAAAAACUAUACAACUUUCAGCAACGGAUCUCUUGGCUCUCGCAUCGAUGAAGAACGCAGCGAAAUGCGAUAAGUAAUGUGAAUUGCAGAAUUCAGUGAAUCAUCGAAUCUUUGAACGCACCUUGCGCCUCUUGGUAUUCCGAGAGGCAUGCCUGUUUGAGUGUCAUUAAAUUCUCAACUUCAAAAGCCUUGUGCUUUCUUGAAGCUUGGAUGUGGAGGCCUGCUGGCUCGCUUCAGAGUCGGCUCCUCUUAAAUGCAUUAGUGGAGACUGUUUUGUGGCCCACAUUGGUGUGAUAAUUAUCUACGCUUCUGUUGGCUGCGAAGCUCUGUAGUGUUCGUAUGGGAAGCUGCAUUAAUAGUGCUCUUUCUGCUUUUUGAAUGACCUACACGAGUCUAGUAUCUGCUUCAAACCGUCCUCUCGGGGACAACUUUUGACUAUUUUGACCUCAAAUCAGGUAGGACUACCCGCUGAACUUAAGCAUAUCAAUAAGCGGAGGAAAAGAAACUAACAAGGAUUCCCCUAGUAACUGCGAGUGAAGAGGGAAAAGCUCAAAUUURAAAUCUGGCAGUCUUUGAU
rnacentral:rRNA from 1 species